UACGUAGGGGGCAAGCGUUGUUCGGAAUUACUGGGCGUAACGGGCGCGUAGGCGGCACGGCAAGUCGGGAGUGAAAGCCCGGGGCUCAACCCCGGAGGGUCUUCCGAAACUGCCGGGCUAGAGUGCGGAAGAGGCAACCGGAAUUCCCAGUGUAGCGGUGAAAUGCGUAGAUAUUGGCUGGAACACCGGUGGCGAAAGCGGCUCUCUGGCCCGGUUCUGACGCUGAGGCGCGAAAGCGUGGGGAGCAAACAGG
rnacentral:rRNA from 1 species